CUUAAAGUCUGAGCUGCCCAGCAAGCUGUUCCCAGCAGCACUUUUACCACUCUGAGUUCUUCCAAGGACAACAAGGUUGAUGGUCAUCUCGUUGUUGCCUGCCAUUUUCUGUGCUUUUAUCCCCAAACCUGUCAUUAGAUGGUAAUCUGAAAGUGCUUUCUGAUGUAGAUAAAUGUUAGAAGUAUGUCCUAAUGAAAAAAAAAGAAAGAAAAGCUGAACUAGCCAAUGCUGCAGGUUCUAACCCCACGUGAAAUCAAGACUUUGCAAGUGUAUACUGUACAGACUUCUAGACUUACGGUGCAGUUAGUGGAAAAGAAAAGCAUAGACUGGUGAAUGGGGAUGAGUGAUGGGUAUAAUUUCCAGUUACCGUAAUUGUUCAUAAAUACAUCCUCUUGUUCUCUUUGUACUUUUUUUUUGUAAUCCAGUAUCUGAAGGGGUUUUGGUGCACAGUAAUUGUCUAACAGGAAUACUGGCUGAUUAAAUAAAUUCAGAGGCGUUUCCAAUAUGGAAAACUA